rnacentral:SRP_RNA from 1 species
GCUGGGUGCAGUGGUGCACGCCUGUAAUCCCAGCUACUUGGGAGGCUGAGGCAGGAGAAUCACUUGAACCCGGGAGGCAGAGGUUGCAGUGAGGCGAGAUUGCGCCACUGAACUCCAGCCUGGGCAACAGAGUGAGACUCUGUCUCAA